rnacentral:rRNA from 1 species
AAUACCAUUAAUUUUCAUGAACCCCUAAUCUAUAAUGAAUGACUCCAUAUUUAUAUGGAAGACACCAUGCUAGGAUUAGUAACAAGAAUUUAUAAUUCUCCAAAAUGCAAAUAUAAACCAACAUGGAUGGACCAUUGGUAGUUACCGAACCUAAAUUCAAUGCAACAACACCUACAAGAAAACUCUGCAGUACUUACUCGUUAACCUAACACCAGCGCAUUACAGGAAAGAUUUAAAAAAAGAGAAGGAAUUCGGCAAAUGACGGCCCCGCCUGUUUACCAAAAACAUCGCCUCUUGACUUAUAAUAAGAGGUCCAGCCUGCCCAGUGAAUUUUAAACGGCCGCGGUAUCCUAACCGCGCGAAGGUAGCAUAAUCACUUGUUCUUUAAAUGGGGACUCGUAUCAACGGCAUCACGAGGGUUUUACUGUCUCCUCUUUUUGAUCAGUGAAAUUGAUCUUCCCGUGAAGAAGCGGGAAUAAAUUUAUAAGACGAGAAGACCCCAUGGAGCUUUAAACCAAAUAACAACUUAACCACUUAUCCCAUAAUAAAUUUAAGCCCUGUUAUAAGGUUUUUGGUUGGGGUGACCGCGGAGUAAAACACAUCCUCCACGACGAAAAAAGCAGAAUUUUUAUUUAAGAACCACACUUCUAGAAAUUAGUAUACUAACGUUUACUGACCCGACAAUCGAUCAACGGACCAAGUUACCCUGGGGAUAACAGCGCAAUCUACUUCAAGAGCUCAUAUCGACAAGUAGGCUUACGACCUCGAUGUUGGAUCAGGGUAUCCCGGUGGUGCAGCCGCUACCGAAGGUUCGUUUGUUCAACGAUUAAAACCCUACGUGAUCUGAU